AGCUGCUGCUGCUGCCCUUCUAGCUACUACGGGGGCAUUUCCCCGCACCUUCCCACCUCCAGGCCUCACACUCAGCUACUUACCAACUCUUGCAGUACCUACAGCAACAUGGGAAACUCAGAAGCAACUGCUUCCAGGUUGGUAAUAGAUCUUCAGCUGACAAAGGAAAGGGAAAGGGUUAGCAAGUUUCUGAAGCGAUCUACUACCCCAUUUUCUGUAUUUUUCACAACUACUCAAAGAACUGUCUGAUACGACAUUGGGGAUACAAUGUUGAGUAUCGCUCCAUUCUAAAGAAAUGGCUCAAUAAAACAAUUGUUUUUGCUUAGGAAAUUAUGAUUUUUAAAAGUAGCCUGAAUUCAUUUAUUCACCCAAGGCGGAAG
rnacentral:lncRNA from 1 species